rnacentral:rRNA from 1 species
AUUGAACGCUGGCGGCAUGCCUUACACAUGCAAGUCGAACGGCAGCACGGGUGCUUGCACCUGGUGGCGAGUGGCGCACGGGUGAGUAAUACAUCGGAACAUGUCCUGUAGUGGGGGAUAGCCCGGCGAAAGCCGGAUUACUACCGCAUACGAUCCACGGAUGAAAGCGGGGGACCUUCGGGCCUCGCGCUAUAGGGUUGGCCGAUGGCUGAUUAGCUAGUUGGUGGGGUAAAGGCCUACCAAGGCGACGAUCAGUAGCUGGUCUGAGAGGACGACCAGCCACACUGGGACUGAGACACGGCCCAGACUCCUACGGGAGGCAGCAGUGGGGAAUUUUGGACAAUGGGCGAAAGCCUGAUCCAGCAAUGCCGCGUGUGUGAAGAAGGCCUUCGGGUUGUAAAGCACUGUUGUCCGGAAAGAAAUCCUUGGCUCUAAUACAGUCGGGGGAUGACGGUACCGGAAGAAUAAGCACCGGCUAACUACGUG